CCAGAACAAAUCUUCCUGACAACAUAUGACCCAGCCUAUGUAACCAAUUACACACUAACUGGCUAUCAGCUUAUGUACUUGCAAACCUACAUAAGCAAACCCAAAGCUGAGGAUUUGGAGCUGAGAUUCCCUUCAUCCGUUAGCGUAAUAAAGUUGCUCUGGUGCUGUGUCUUCGGUCUGCUCUGGUCCUGAACCCCAUAACACCACUAUCACCUCGUCUCUUUCCACUGCCAAGUACAAACAGCCCCAAGAGUUCAGUCUCAGUUCACUCCUGGCUUUGUGUGGAUCCGGGCUGGUGUUGAGCUGGGACCUCAGCCCCCAUGAGGCUGGCAUCUGCGGGCGGGCUCACGAGCAAAACCAGGGGCCACAGUCGGGGGUGGGGUGGGGAUCAGCGGGGCCCUCCGGGAGCCACAAACAAGGUCACCUGCUGGGAGUCCUGGAAGGACAGUGGCAGCUGGCCUGGAACCGUGGGAAACUGCGACUCGGUGGGGAGAGCUGGCCUCCGCAGGCGCCUUUUCUCCUCCCGGCCUGGAAGGGGCGGAGCUGGACCCCGGCUCCGGCCGGCCCGCGUCUCCAGCGCGGCUCUCCAAGGCGGCUCCCCGAGGCGAGGCGGGCGAGCGCUGCGUGGCUGUUCCCGCUUCCCUGCCUCCCCUGAUGGGUUCUUCGUCCGGUCUUCGCGCCUGCCUUCCCGGUGGCGAUGGAUACUGAGGACUUGACCCAGGGCCAUCACACUGAGCUACAUCCAUGGCCCCUUGCCAGAUUAUCCAAGCUGAUCUCGAAUUUGGGAGCCCUGCCUUGGCCUCCCAAGCAGCUGAGAUUACAAGUGUGUACCACCCCUCACCUGGUUCUGAGAUUGAAUACACUUUGGCAUUGUCAUGGUUUAUGUCUGUGUCCCCCAGGCCUCAUGAGUUUGAAUUGUGCAUUUGUUAUUCGUUCAUUGUAUAGUGCUUGGAUUGAUGGUGUUAGUGCUACACUCACUUAGGGGUGGAGCUAGGAUGUGAUUUAAUGGCAGGAAGAAGGUGUGUCUUGCUCUUUGCUAGUUCCGGCUUGCGGCCACCAUGAACUGCAGCCCAACCAUGUCCGCCUGUCUUGGAGCCAACUGAGUAUGGACUGAAACCUCCAAAAAGUGUAAGAAAUAAACCUUUCCUUUCCCAACUUGGACAUCAGGUAUUUUUGUCUCAGUGACGAGCAUAAAGUAACUAAGACAGGCAUCAUGUGCCCAUCCUUCUGAGCCUCCACACCGUAACCAGCAUUCUACUCUCCACUUGUAUUAGUUUUAGUUUCCAUCUCUACAUCAGAAUUUGUACUUGCCUUUUAGUGCCUGACUUAUUUUACUAUUAUAGUGUUUGCCAAUUCCAUCUAUACUGUCACAGAUGACAGAAUUUCUGGCUGAGUUGUAACUCAGUAGUAGAAUUUGAGCUUAGCAUGUGCAGGGUUCUGGAUUCAGUACCACUAUACCUCCUUCCAAGAAAGAGAAGAAAAUUAAUUAAAUGAUAAGUUUCUUUCUUUCUUAGGCCUGAAUAUGUGUGUAUGUACAUGUGACCACACUUUCUUCACUCAAACAUCCUUUGAUGUACAUAUGUUGACCCCAUAACAUGGCUAUUAUGAAUCAUGCUACAGUAAUCAUGGGAGUACUGACACCUUUGUGAUACACUGAUUGCCAAAGUAAGAUUGCUGGAUUGUUGGAACCUAGGACCCUGGGAAGCAAAGCAAGCACCUCUCCUCCCUGGUAAUCGGUGGCAGUGUGACAGACUGCAGCCCUUCCAGGGGGAGAAUUAGCAGCAGCUCCUGAGAUCCGCGCCAUGUUGGAACUUAGGACGCUGUGAAACCAAACAACCAGCCCGCCUCCCUGCUAAGCAAUAGUGAACCUACUGAUGCACGGCCUAGAGUCAAAUAUCCCACUUCCCCUACCCUCUCUCUCUCCCCUCGCCCCCACUGCCAUUAGCAAAUGGGAACCAGAAAUCUGAGCAUCUCCUGGGAGGUUGACCAUAGCAAAUAAGGGGGACUUCCUUCUACCAUCUCUUUGAAGGCAAAUAUUUUUGUUACUGUUUUGCUCUUUUCUGAUUAAUGGUACUGCUCUAUUCAAUAUUCUGUUUUGAUAAGUUCUAUAGUGUUCUAUAUUUCAUCUCAAUUUGAUAUACGUGAUGGAAAGAACUAUUAUAAAGAUAACAAAAUAUACUGUGAUACCUAUUAGUUAUCCCUAUAACCUGCUGUGAAGUUCUGUACUAAUUUCACUGUACGAUCUUAGUUGGCUUUAUUCUGUCUUGUUCUGUUGUAUACUUUCAAAAUAAAAUUAAAAAAAAAAAGAUUGCUGGAUUGUGUAUUUUUUGGUAUUUUUGAGGCAGGUUCUCACUAUGCAGUUCAGGCUGGCCUUGACUUCAUUUUGUAACCCAGGUGGGUCUGGAACUCGCCACAAU
ensembl:lincRNA